AGUGAACGCUGGCGGCAGGCCUAACACAUGCAAGUCGAACGAGGUCUUCGGACUUAGUGGCGGACGGGUGAGUAACACGUGGGAACGUGCCUUUAGGUUCGGAAUAACUCAGGGAAACUUGUGCUAAUACCGAAUGUGCCCUUCGGGGGAAAGAUUUAUCGCCUUUAGAGCGGCCCGCGUCUGAUUAGCUAGUUGGUGAGGUAAAGGCUCACCAAGGCUACGAUCAGUAGCUGGUCUGAGAGGAUGACCAGCCACAUUGGGACUGGGACACGGCCCAAACUCCUACGGGAGGCAGCAGUGGGGAAUCUUGCGCAAUGGGCGAAAGCCUGACGCAGCCGUGCCGCGUGGAUGAUGAAGGUCUUAGGAUUGUAAAAUCCUUUCACCGGUGAAGAUAAUGACUGUAGCCGGAGAAGAAGCCCCGGCUAACUUCGUGCCAGCAGCCGCCGUAAGAC
rnacentral:rRNA from 1 species